AUUGAACGCUGGCGGCAUGCUUUACACAUGCAAGUCGAACGGCAGCGCGGGCUUCGGCCUUGCGGCGAGUGGCGAACGGGUGAGUAAUGCAUCGGAACGUGCCCGGUAGUGGGGGAUAGCCCGGCGAAAGCCGGAUUAAUACCGCAUACGACCUGAGGGUGAAAGCGGGGGACCGACAGACCUCGCGCUAUUAGAGCAGCCUAUGUCGGAUUAGCUAGUUGGUGGGGUAAAGGCUUACCAAGGCGACGAUCCGUAGCUGGUCUGAGAGGACGACCAGCCACACUGGGACUGAGACACGGCCCAGACUCCUACGGGAGGCAGCAGUGGGGAAUAUUGGACAAUGGGGGCAAGCCUGAUCCAGCCAUGCCGCGUGCGGGAAGAAGGCCUUCGGGUUGUAAAGCGCUUUUGUUCGGGAAGAAAGCCUGUGGGCUAAUACCCCGGGGGGAUGACGUUACCGGAAGAAUAAGCACCGGCUAACUACGUG
rnacentral:rRNA from 1 species